GACGUAGGGCGCGAGCGUUGUCCGGAUUUAUUGGGCGUAAAGAGCUCGUAGGCGGCUUGUCGCGUCGACUGUGAAAACCUGCAGCUUAACUGUGGGCUUGCGGUGGAUACGGGCAGACUUGAGUUCGGUAGGGGAGACUGGAAUUCCUGGUGUAGCGGUGAAAUGCGCAGAUAUCAGGAGGAACACCGGUGGCGAAGGCGGCUCACUGGCCCGAUACUGACGCUGAGGCACGAAAGCGUGGGGAGCAGACAGG
rnacentral:rRNA from 1 species